CCUACGGGAGGCAGCAGUGGGGAAUAUUGCGCAAUGGGCGAAAGCCUGACGCAGCGACGCCGCGUGAGGGAUGAAGGUCUUCUGAUCGUAAACCUCUGUCAGCAGGGAAGAACGGUCACUGUGCUAAUCAGCAGUGAAUUGACGGUACCUGCAAAGGAAGCACCGGCUAACUCCGUGCCAGCAGCCGCGGUAAUACGGAGGGUGCGAGCGUUAAUCGGAAUUACUGGGCGUAAGGGGCUCGUAGGCGGUAUGUCAAGUCAAGGGUGAAAUCUCCGGGCUCAACGUGGGAACUGCCUUUGAAACUGGUAAACUGGAGUGUGUGAGAGGAUAGUGGAAUGCCAGGUGUAGGAGUGAAAUCCGUAGAUAUCUGGAGGAACACCAGUGGCGAAGGCGACUAGCU
rnacentral:rRNA from 1 species